rnacentral:rRNA from 1 species
CCUACGGGAGGCAGCAGUGGGGAAUAUUGGACAAUGGGCGAAAGCCUGAUCCAGCAAUGCCGCGUGAGUGAUGAAGGCCUUAGGGUCGUAAAGCUCUUUUUACCAGGGAUGAUAAUGACAGUACCUGGAGAAUAAGCUCCGGCUAACUCCGUGCCAGCAGCCGCGGUAAUACGGAGGGAGCUAGCGUUGUUCGGAAUUACUGGGCGUAAAGCGUACGUAGGCGGUUAUUCAAGUCAGAGGUGAAAGCCCGGGGCUCAACCCCCGGAACGGCCUUUGAAACUAGGUAGCUAGAGUCUUGGAGAGGUCAGUGGAAUUCCGAGUGUAGAGGUGAAAUUCGUAGAUAUUCGGAAGAACACCAGUGGCGAAGGCGACUGACUGGACAAGUACUGACGCUGAGGUACGAAAGCGUGGGGAGCAAACAGGAUUAGAUACCCUGGUAGUCCACGCCGUAAACGAUGAUAACUAGCUGUUCGGGUACUUGGUAUCUGAGUGGCGCAGCUAACGCAUUAAGUUAUCCGCCUGGGGAGUACGGUCGCAAGAUUAAAACUCAAAUGAAUUGACGG